UACGUAGGGGGCAAGCGUUGUCCGGAAUUAUUGGGCGUAAAGAGCGCGUAGGCGGUCCGAUAAGUCGGCUGUGAAAGUCAGGGGCUCAACCCUUGGAAGCCGGCCGAUACUGUCGGACUAGAGUCCGGAAGAGGCGAGUGGAAUUCCCGGUGUAGCGGUGAAAUGCGCAGAUAUCGGGAGGAACACCAAUGGCGAAGGCAGCUCGCUGGGACGGUACUGACGCUGAGGCGCGAAAGCGUGGGGAGUAAACAGG
rnacentral:rRNA from 1 species